rnacentral:tRNA from 1 species
GUGGGUGUAGCUCAGCAAGGUAGAGCGCCGCGUUGUGGUCGCGGAUGUCGCGGGUUCAAGUCCCGUCACUCACC